CGACCCCCUCGACUCCCACCCCCUGGUUCAAGCCUGCGCUCUUCCUCUCCCCGGACUUCGACUCCGAGGCCUACAUCUCCGACCUCCGAACCUUCGUCCCCUUCAACACCCUCCGAUCUGAGCUCCAGUCCUAUCUCGCCUCCCUCAACCACGACCUCAUCAACCGCGACUACGCCGCUUCGUCAACCUCAGCACCAAGCUCGUCGACGUUGACUUUGCCGUGGUGCGCAUGCGGGCCCCGCUCCUGGAGCUCAGGGAAAAGAUCGAGCAGUUCAGAGGCUCCGUGCAGGGCUCGCUUGUGGCGCUGACCAAUGGAUUGAAGUAGAGAUCCGAGGUCGCCGAGGCUAGGGAGAUGGAGGCUGCUCGAAGCUGGUUUUGGGUUUGGACGCUGCUCGAAGAAAAGAGAGAUGGAGGCUGCUCUUGGUUGCCGAAAGAGAGGAAAAUAAGAAAACUAAAACUCAUAUCGGGUUCCAACGGGUAAUAACGGGUUUAGCCCGGCCCGGCCCGUUUAUUUGCGGGUUUUUGGCGUGCGGGCUUUUUUCAGCCCGGAUUAAUAAUUGGACGGGUUCGUGCGGGUUUUUACCGUGCGGGUUUCGGGCGGGUUUGCGGAUUACGGGC
rnacentral:lncRNA from 1 species